rnacentral:rRNA from 1 species
UACGAAGGGUGCAAGCGUUGUUCGGAAUUACUGGGCGUAAAGCGCGCGUAGGCGGUUUGAUAAGUUGGGAGUGAAAUCCCGGGGCUUAACCUCGGAAUUGCUUUCAAAACUGUCAAGCUAGAGUAUGGCAGGGGACAGUGGAAUUCCUAGUGUAGAGGUGAAAUUCGUAGAUAUUAGGAGGAACACCAGUGGCGAAAGCGACUGUCUGGACCAUUACUGACGCUGAGGCGCGAAAGCGUGGGGAGCAAACAGGAUUAGAUACCCUGGUAGUCCACGCUGUAAACGAUGGGUGCUAGAUAUUGGGGCUUAAGCUUCAGUGUCGUAGCUAACGCGUUAAGCACCCCGCCUGGGGAGUACGGUCGCAAGAUUA